GGUGCUGCAUGGCUGUCGUCAGCUCGUGUCGUGAGAUGUUCGGUUAAGUCCGCUAACGAGCGCAACCCUCGCUGUGUGUUAUAUGUGUCACACGGGACUGCCGGUCUUAAGCCGGAGGAAGGUGGGGAUGAUGUCAAGUCAGCAUGGCCUUUAUAUCCUGGGCUACACACACGCUACAAUGGCCAACACAAUAGGUUGCUAAGCCGCGAGGUGGCGCCAAUCCAUAAAGUUGGUCUCAGUUCAGAUUGUAGGCUGCAACCCGCCUGCAUGAAGAUGGAGUUGCUAGUAACCGCAGGUCAGCUAUACUGCGGUGAAUACGUUCCCGGGGCUU
rnacentral:rRNA from 1 species